rnacentral:rRNA from 1 species
UCCUUCUGUAGGUGAACCUGCGGAAGGAUCAUUA